GCUUUUAAUUCAUCAUGCUACACAUAUUUCACAUGCCUUCAUUCAUGAUUUUUCAUUUUUUUUCACAUUAGAAAAUCCAUAUCUCCAUGAUCAUUUGUCCAAUUGAUGUGAGAUUUUUUGUGCCAUGUUCCUUAAGACCUCUACUAUUUUAUGAUGAUUUUUAUUAAAAUUGUGCACGUGUGGAUUUUUGAAUGGCCUAGGGUUUGUUCAUACAUGUGAU
rnacentral:lncRNA from 1 species